rnacentral:rRNA from 1 species
AGCGAACGCUGGCGGCAGGCCUAACACAUGCAAGUCGAACGGAUCCUUCGGGAUUAGUGGCGGACGGGUGAGUAACACGUGGGAACGUGCCCUUUGGUUCGGAACAAAUCAGGGAAACUUGAGCUAAUACCGGAUGUGCCCUUCGGGGGAAAGAUUUAUCGCCAUUGGAGCGGCCCGCGUCUGAUUAGCUAGUUGGUGAGGUAACGGCCCACCAAGGCGACGAUCAGUAGCUGGUCUGAGAGGAUGAUCAGCCACACUGGGACGGAGACACGGCCCAGACUCCUACGGGAGGCAGCAGUGGGGAAUCUUGCGCAAUGGGCGAAAGCCUGACGCAGCCAUGCCGCGUGAAUGAUGAAGGUCUUAGGAUUGUAAAAUUCUUUCAGCGGGGACGAUAAUGACGGUACCCGCAGAAGAAGCUCCGGCUAACUUCGUG